rnacentral:rRNA from 1 species
UGGUCGGCAGGCCUAACACAUGCAAGUCGAGCGAGACCUUCGGGUCUAGCGGCGGACGGGUUAGUAACGCGUGGGAACGUACCCUUUUCUACGGAAUAGCCUUUGGAAACGAAGAGUAAUACCGUAUACGCCCCUUGGGGGAAAGAUUUAUCGGAGAAGGAUCGGCCCGCGUUAGAUUAGAUAGUUGGUGGGGUAAUGGCCUACCAAGUCUACGAUCUAUAGCUGGUUUUAGAGGAUGAUCAGCAACACUGGGACUGAGACACGGCCCAGACUCCUACGGGAGGCAGCAGUGGGGAAUCUUAGACAAUGGGCGCAAGCCUGAUCUAGCCAUGCCGCGUGAGUGAAGAAGGCCUUAGGGUCGUAAAGCUCUUUCGCCAGGGAUGAUAAUGACAGUACCUGGUAAAGAAACCCCGGCUAACUCCGUGCCAGCAGCCGCGGUAAUACGGAGGGGGUUAGCGUUGUUCGGAAUUACUGGGCGUAAAGCGCACGUAGGCGGAUUAGAAAGUUAGAGGUGAAAUCCCAGGGCUCAACCCUGGAACUGCCUUUAAAACUCCUAGUCUUGAGUUCGAGAGAGGUGAGUGGAAUUCCAAGUGUAGAGGUGAAAUUCGUAGAUAUUUGGAGGAACACCAGUGGCGAAGGCGGCUCACUGGCUCGAUACUGACGCUGAGGUGCGAAAGUGUGGGGAGCAAACAGGAUUAGAUACCCUGGUAGUCCACACCGUAAACGAUGAAUGCCAGUCGUCGGGUAGUAUACUAUUCGGUGACACACCUAACGGAUUAAGCAUUCCGCCUGGGGAG